ensembl:lncRNA
ACAGCUUGGAUCAAAGACACGACGCUGGGCCUUUAAAAUCAUUUCAGUAUUAAAGCUGCUUCUUUCAACGUCCCAGUUUCAUUUCCAGAUGGUGUUUUUAUUUAUUUUUAAAAAAAUGAAAUUAUAAAACACAGUUUUAAAGUCCAUCAAAGCGUUCUGACUUUUUUACAUGAAGACAGGACACAGACAUGGUUAAUGAUAACACCUCACACACUUGCUACAGUUCCUGCAGCCACACAGAUGUGUCAUCACUGAUGCCUGUGCUCUGCUGGAGUCUUCUCUAACACUGGAUGCAUUUAUAAGGACAACAACAUCCUGCCUAAAAUAAACUAAUGCAGGUCAUGAUGUCCACUGUGGCGUCUUCUCAGUGAUUUUGUGGUUCACACUCCGAUGGAUGCAUCAGAGAGCAAAUGGGGUUAGUAUCUUGCCCAAGGAUAUUUGGCAUGCAACCUGGAGC